rnacentral:rRNA from 1 species
CCAGACUCCUACGGGAGGCAGCAGUGGGGGAUAUUGCACAAUGGGGGAAACCCUGAUGCAGCGACGCCGCGUGAGGGAAGACGGCCUUCGGGUUGUAAACCUCUGUCGCAGGGGACGAAGGAAGUGACGGUACCCUGUGAGGAAGCCACGGCUAACUACGUGCCAGCAGCCGCGGUAAUACGUAGGGGGCAAGCGUUAUCCGGAAUUACUGGGUGUAAAGGGAGCGCAGACGGCAGUGCAAGUCUGGAGUGAAAGCCCGUGGCUUAACCACGGGACUGCUCUGGAAACUGUGCAGCUAGAGUGCAGGAGAGGCAGGCGGAAUUCCUAGUGUAGCGGUGAAAUGCGUAGAUAUUAGGAGGAACACCGGUGGCGAAGGCGGACUGCUGGACUGUAACUGACGUUGAGGCUCGAAAGCGUGGGGAGCAAACAGGAUUAGAUACCCGAGUAACA